rnacentral:tRNA from 1 species
GCUGCGGUAGUCUAGUGGUUAGGACGGCAGACUGUGGCUCUGCCAGCCCGGAUUCGAAUUCCGGUCGCGGCC